rnacentral:rRNA from 1 species
UAGGGAAUCUUCCACAAUGGACGCAAGUCUGAUGGAGCAACGCCGCGUGAGUGAAGAAGGUUUUCGGACCGUAAAGCUCUGUUGUUGGUGAAGAAGGAUAGAGGUAGUAACUGGCCUUUAUUUGACGGUAAUCGACCAGAAAGUCACGGCUAACUACGUGCCAGCAGCCGCGGUAAUACGUAGGUGGCAAGCGUUGUCCGGAUUUAUUGGGCGUAAAGCGGAGCGCAGGCGGAAGAAUAAGUCUGAUG